rnacentral:rRNA from 1 species
UGCCCUAGUAACGGCGAGUGAAGCGGCAACAGCUCAAAUUUGAAAUCUGGCCCUCGGGUCCGAGUUGUAAUUUGUAGAGGAUGCUUUUGGUGAGGUACCUUCCGAGUUCCCUGGAACGGGACGCCAUAGAGGGUGAGAGCCCCGUCUGGUCGGAUACCAAUCCUCUGUAAAGCUCCUUCGACGAGUCGAGUAGUUUGGGAAUGCUGCUCUAAAUGGGAGGUAUAUGUCUUCUAAAGCUAAAUAUUGGCCAGAGACCGAUAGCGCACAAGUAGAGUGAUCGAAAGAUGAAAAGCACUUUGAAAAGAGGGUUAAACAGUACGUGAAAUUGUUGAAAGGGAAGCGCUUGUGACCAGACUUGGGCCCGGUUAAUCAUCCAGCGUUCUCGCUGGUGCACUUGGCCGGCCCAGGCCAGCAUCAGUUCGGUGUGGGGGAUAAAGGCGGCGGGAAUGUGGCUCCUCCGGGAGUGUUAUAGCCCACCGUGUAAUACCCUGUGCUGGACUGAGGUUCGCGCAUUCGCAAGGAUGCUGGCGUAAUGGUCAUUAGCGACCCGUCUUGAAACACGGACCAAGGAGUCGUCUUCGUAUGCGAGUGUUCGGGUGUUAAACCCCUACGCGUAAUGAAAGUGAACGCAGGUGAGAGCUUCGGCGCAUCAUCGACCGAUCCUGAUGUUCUCGGAUGGAUUUGAGUAAGAGCAUACGGGGCCGGACCCGAAAGAAGGUGAACUAUGCCUGUAUAGGGUGAAGCCAGAGGAAACUCUGGUGGAGGCUCGCAGCGGUUCUGACGUGCAAAUCGAUCGUCAAAUAUGGGCA